GAUGAACGCUGGCGGUAUGCUUAACACAUGCAAGUCGAACGGGGUGCAUAGUCACCUAGUGGCGGACGGGUGAGUAACGCGUGAGAAUCUGGCCUCAGGUCCGGGACAACCACGGGAAACGGUGGCUAAUACCGGAUGUGCCAUAUUGGUGAAAGAUUAAUUGCCUGAGGAUGAGCUCGCGUCUGAUUAGCUAGUUGGUGGGGUAAAGGCUUACCAAGGCGACGAUCAGUAACUGGUCUGAGAGGAUGACCAGUCACACUGGGACUGAGACACGGCCCAGACUCCUACGGGAGGCAGCAGUGGGGAAUUUUCCGCAAUGGGCGAAAGCCUGACGGAGCAAUACCGCGUGAGGGAGGAAGGCUCUUGGGUUGUAAACCUCUUUUCUCAGGGAAGAAGAAUGACGGUACCUGAGGAAUCAGCAGCGGCUAACUCCGUG
rnacentral:rRNA from 1 species